rnacentral:lncRNA from 8 species
CUGCUGACCCUGUUAACAACUAACCUGAUAAACCUGUUAACAACUAACCUGCUGACCCUGAUAACAACUAACCUGCUGACCCUGGUAACUAACCUGCUGACCCUGUUAACAACUAACCUGCUGACCCUGUUAACAACUAACCUGCUGACCCUGUUAACAACUAACCUGCUGACCCUGUUAACAACUAACCUGCUGACCCUGAUAACAACUAACCUGCUGACCCUGGUAACAACUAACCUGCUGACCCUGGUAACUAACCUGCUGACCCUGUUAACAACUAACCUGCUGACCCUGUUAACAACUAACCUGCUGACCCUGCUAACAACUAACCUGCUGACCCUGUUAACAACUAACCUGAUAACCCUGAUAACAACUAACCUGCUGACCCUGUUAACAACUAACCUGAUAAACCUGUUAACAACUAACCUGCUGACCCUGAUAACAACUAACCUGCUGACCCUGUUAACAACUAACCUGUUAGCCCUGUUAACCACUAACCUGCUGACCCUGUUAACAACUAACCUGCUGACCCUGGUAACUAACCUGCUGACCCUGUUAACAACUAACCUGCUGACCCUGUUAACAACUAACCUGCUGACCCUGAUAACUAACCUGAUAAACCUGUUAACAACUAACCUGCUGACCCUGAUAACUAACCUGAUAAACCUGUUAACAACUAACCUGCUAACCCUGAUAACUAACCUGAUAAACCUGUUAACAACUAACCUGAUAACCCUGUUAACAACUAACCUGCUGACCCUGAUAACUAACCUGAUAAACUUGUUAACAACUAACCUGCUGACCCUGAUAACUAACCUGAUAAACCUGUUAACAACUAACCUGAUAACCCUGUUAACUACUAACCUGCUGACCCUGAUAACUAACCUGUUGAUCCUAACACUGUUAAUUAACAUGGUAUUUGUGUACAAAUGGAGGAUAGGUAAUGAAUGCACCUUUAAAUAUCAAAAUGCUUUCCCUCCCCAAAUGUGUGCAAAUGUAAUUAAAAUAACCAGCAGUGGUUGCCUUCUUCGAAGAAGCGGAAUAUUUAUACCAUUAUUGCGACUUUGUUAA